UACGUAGGUGGUUGGUUAAGUUUGAGGUGAAAGCUCCGAGCUCAACUCGGAAAAUGCCUUGAAGACUAUCUGACUAGAGGAUUGGAGGGGAGAUUGGAAUUCUCGGUGUAGCAGUGAAAUGCGUAGAUAUCGAGAGGAACACCAGUGGCGAAGGCGAAUCUCUGGACAAUUCCUGACACUGAGGCACGAAAGCCAAGGGAGCAAAACG
rnacentral:rRNA from 1 species